ACGAACGCUGGCGGCGUGCCUAAUACAUGCAAGUCGAGCGAACCACUUCGGUGGUUAGCGGCGGACGGGUGAGUAACACGUGGGCAACCUGCCUGUAAGACUGGGAUAACUUCGGGAAACCGGAGCUAAUACCGGAUAAUCCUUUUCCUCACAUGAGGAAAAGCUGAAAGACGGUUUCGGCUGUCACUUACAGAUGGGCCCGCGGCGCAUUAGCUAGUUGGUGAGGGUAACGGCUCACCAAGGCGACGAUGCGUAGCCGACCUGAGAGGGUGAUCGGCCACACUGGGACUGAGACACGGCCCAGACUCCUACGGGAGGCAGCAGUAGGGAAUCUUCCACAAUGGACGAAAGUCUGAUGGAGCAACGCCGCGUGAGCGAUGAAGGCCUUCGGGUCGUAAAGCUCUGUUGUUAGGGAAGAACAAGUACCGGAGUAACUGCCGGUACCUUGACGGUACCUUGACGGUACCUAACCAGAAAGCCACGGCUAACUACGUGCCAGCAGCCGCGGUAAUACGUAGGUGGCAAGCGUUGUCCGGAAUUAUUGGGCGUAAAGCGCGCGCAGGCGGUCCUUUAAGUCUGAUGUGAAAGCCCACGGCUCAACCGUGGAGGGUCAUUGGAAACUGGGGGACUUGAGUGCAGAAGAGGAAAGCGGAAUUCCACGUGUAGCGGUGAAAUGCGUAGAGAUGUGGAGGAACACCAGUGGCGAAGGCGGCUUUCUGGUCUGUAACUGACGCUGAGGCGCGAAAGCGUGGGGAGCAAACAGGAUUAGAUACCCUGGUAGUCCACGCCGUAAACGAUGAGUGCUAAGUGUUAGGGGGUUUCCGCCCCUUAGUGCUGCAGCUAACGCAUUAAGCACUCCGCCUGGGGAGUACGGCCGCAAGGCUGAAACUCAAAGGAAUUGACGGGGGCCCGCACAAGCGGUGGAGCAUGUGGUUUAAUUCGAAGCAACGCGAAGAACCUUACCAGGUCUUGACAUCCUCUGACACUCCUAGAGAUAGGACGUUCCCCUUCGGGGGACAGAGUGACAGGUGGUGCAUGGUUGUCGUCAGCUCGUGUCGUGAGAUGUUGGGUUAAGUCCCGCAACGAGCGCAACCCUUGAUCUUAGUUGCCAGCAUUCAGUUGGGCACUCUAAGGUGACUGCCGGUGACAAACCGGAGGAAGGUGGGGAUGACGUCAAAUCAUCAUGCCCCUUAUGACCUGGGCUACACACGUGCUACAAUGGAUGGUACAAAGGGCUGCAAGACCGCGAGGUUUAGCCAAUCCCAUAAAACCAUUCUCAGUUCGGAUUGUAGGCUGCAACUCGCCUAUAUGAAGCCGGAAUCGCUAGUAAUCGCGGAUCAGCAUGCCGCGGUGAAUACGUUCCGGGCCUUGUACACACCGCCCGUCACACCACGAGAGUUUGUAACACCCGAAGUCGGUGGGGUAACCGUAAGGAGCCAGCCGCCUAAGGUGGGACAGAUGAUUGGGGUG
rnacentral:rRNA from 1 species